GUCACAUUCAGAACAAUCUAAUUGGGGUAAGAUACCACCACAACAAGAUGUUAUAGGCUUGUUCUAUGUGGUAGACACAAUGUAGAUAGAAGCUGUAGCUUCCCAUAUUCCUUCCCAGUCUUUUAGAUCAAGUGGACAUGUAAGAAAGUGCUCUGGAGGGAAGGUUGUACACUAUAAAAAGAUUGAAAACUGAGAUUUGCCCUCUCAAAG